CAGAGGAUCGUGAAAGCUGAGCUGGUGGACUACCAUCAGGACGAAGUCCCCGUUAGACAGGAGACCAAUCAGAGCAAAAUCUGUUCGGUUCAGUAGUUGGAACGUGUGGUGAAGGCAGACAUCGUGAACUACAGUCAAGAACCUGUGGCGAGGACAGUCAACCCCCCGCGCAGCUCCAUGUGUGCGGUGCAGUGACCGCCUCUCUCCCCCACCUCCCCUCUUGCUCCUCCACAAACUGACUAUAGCAGUGAGGGCUUCUGACCAGCAGGCUGCCCCCAACACACUGGCCCAUAGCCAAAGCAGGGGAAUUGAGCCAGCUUUUAUUCUGCUACACACACACACCUUCUCUCUCUCUCUCAACGCACAAGUCUUUAGAAAGGCUUUAUAUCAGUAUUUCCUUUUUUGAGGGUUUUCAGGGUCAUCAGAUAUUUUAAGAUUUGAAUGUGAGGAUCUCUCUGUAUGUACAGUUUGUAUAUGUAAAGGGACCCCACAGUAUAUUCAUGGCUUCAAUACAUUUAAUCUAUUUUCAUGAAUGGAUUUCUUGAGUAGUAAUCAGCUUUGGUUGCAGCAUACGUCUGUUUAAAUAUGAAGUUAUGCUGAAAGCAAAUGGGCCCUCCACUUUUUCAGCAAUAUAUUUUGAGCAACUGUUAUAUUCUUUUGUCAUUUUUUUUCUUCUACUGUCUUCAUUAUUCAAUUAUUCUUCAAAGGACCAUUUUUGAUUGUGUGUGUGUAUGCAUGUAUGUAUUCAACAAAAAUAUAAACGCAACAUGUAAAGUGUUGGCCCCAUGUUU